UGGCUCAGGACGAACGCUGGCGGUAUGCUUAACACAUGCAAGUCGAACGAGAAGGAAGAGCUUGCUCUUCCUGAAAGUGGCGAACGGGUGAGUAACGCGUGGGUAACCCUACCCUUUGGAAAGGAAUAGCCUCGGGAAACUGCGAAUAAUGCCUUAUAAGAUACGUUUGUCGCAUGGCAUUUGUAUUAAACGCUCCGGCGCCAUAGGAUGGACCCGCGUCCCAUUAGCUAGUUGGUGAGAUAACAGCUCACCAAGGCCACGAUGGGUAACCGGUCUGAGAGGGCGAACGGUCACACUGGAACUGAGACACGGUCCAGACUCCUACGGGAGGCAGCAGUGGGGAAUAUUGCGCAAUGGGGGCAACCCUGACGCAGCAAUACCGCGUGAGUGAAGAAGGUUUUCGGAUCGUAAAGCUCUGUUAUUGGGGAAGAAAAAAAGACGGUACCCAAGAAGAAAGUUCCGGCUAACUACGUGCCAGCAGCCGCGGUAAUACGUAGGGAACAAGCGUUGUCCGGAUUUACUGGGCGUAAAGGGCACGCAGGCGGUUUUUUAAGUCAGAUGUGAAAGGCCACAGCUCAACUGUGGACAUGCAUUUGAAACUGAAAGACUUGAGUAUUGGAGAGGCAAGUGGAAUUCCUAGUGUAGCGGUGAAAUGCGUAGAUAUUAGGAGGAACACCGGUGGCGAAGGCGGCUUGCUGGACAAAUACUGACGCUGA
rnacentral:rRNA from 1 species